rnacentral:lncRNA from 1 species
CGCUGGAGUGCGUUCCUUAUCAAAGGAUGAGUUUAGCCCACUGCUGCUCUCUCUCGCCCUCUCUUUGCCCUCUCAAUACAGAUUGAUGAACAAGAAGCCCCUUCCCGAUGCUGGCCCCUCAGUUUUGGACUUCUAGCCUCCAGAAUUGAAGCAGCAUGGUGCUCAUAAAGAUUUAACUGAAAGGAACUACUACCAUCCUUUCGUGGUCACCAGAAAGACGUUACAGGAAAGGAGUCCUGAUCCAAACUGCAAGAGUGGGUUCUUGGAACUCAUGCGAGAAAGAAUUCAGGGCAAGUCAACAGUGCAAAGCAAAAGCAAAUUUAUUAAGACAGUGAAGUGGUGAAAGAACAGCUACUCCAUAGACAGAGUAGGUCGUUCCCAAAAGUAAGAGCAGGAACAUGUCCACCCUAGGUACAAUGCUUAUUUAUAUACAGGAUAAAAAUUUAAAAAGACCAUGGGGAAAUAUGCUCUGCUACAAGGGUUUAUGGUAAAGGAUUUUCUUAAUUACUGUAUUUUGCAGGAAUCAAUAUUAUUAUCUUUACUUUUUAUUUAUUUUUACUUUUUUAUUUAUUUAUUGUUUUUUGAGAUGGAGUCUUGCUAGUUUGCCCAGGCUGGAGUGCAGUGGCGCAAUCUCAGCUCAAUGCAAGCUCUGCCUCCCAGGUUCACACCAUUCUCCUGCCUCAGCCUCCCAAGUAGCUGGGACUACAGGUGCCUGCCACCACGCUCGGAUAAUUUUUUGUAUUUUUUAGUAGAGACAGGGUUUCACUGUGUUAGCCAUGAUGGUCUCGAUCUCCUGACCUUGUGAUCCGACCACCUUGGCCUCCCAGAGUUCUGGGAUUACAGGUGUGAGCCACCGCGCCCAGCCUCAAUAUUAUUAUCUUUAAAGCAAAAUUAGGAAUGCUUCUGUUGUGAAGAUAUAGCGACAUCAGGACACUCCUAAGUCUGAGUAUGUUUAGUAAAUGUUAUCAAUCUGUUCCCUUAAUUGUAAACAUCUAGAGGCUAGUGAAGCAGUCUACAGUCACUGGAGGAGUCUCGUUGUCUGAAGUAUUACUGGAGUUCUUUGUCUCAUGACUAAGAAAAUUAAGGAGCAUAGCCACCAAGGGUGAGGUUGGAGCAAAGUUCAAUAAGCUAAAGAGGAAAGCUCUCCACAGUGGAGAAGGGGCCCAAAAGAGUUGCCAUUUCACAGUUGAAUGCAAAGGCUUUUAUAAACAAGUUACAGGGGCAGAGGGUUUCAUUUACAUGAGGCACAAAAAACCAGUUAGGGCUGGAUGUCUUAUUUGCAUAAUGGAUGAAUUCUUGUUAGCUCCAUUCCAUCCUUCUAGUGCACAUUUGGGUCCUUAGCCUGAGUUACUCCAUGUUGUUUUAUUUCCCUUACUGUGUAUGUGUAAGGAGAUGGAAUAUUCCACUGCAGGUGUGUUUGGUUCUGUGUAAUUUUUCUUAUCUAUAUGGCUGCAGGUCUGUCUUAGGCAAGCCCCUCUGUACAAGUUCCCUUAUCUGAGUAUGCCCAAAAAGGAGAGGAAAGUGCUCACUGAAGCCCACCAUGUAUAGGCAGAUUUCACUGGUUGCACAAGAGACAAAGGCAUUGGACCUUGCUUCCUUAUCUGCGCUUGCAGCUUGAUUGCUUCCAGGCUGCUCUUUUGUUGGAAAGACUUCUAUCAGGGGCCUUGUCCUAACUAUCUGCCUAACUGGUUCCUUCCUCUCUCCUCUCUCAUUAGGAAUACCUAUCUUUGAGAAUCCAGCCCAGCAAGUCCCUGACUCAUUUUUUUCCUAACCCUCACUCAAGAUGAAGUUGCUCUGGUUCGAGUGCAUCUGAAAAUAGGACUACAUAUUUUAUUCAUAAGCUAUACAAUUAUCUGGGAGGCAAUUCAAAAAAUAAGUGAGCUAAUUCACUUUGUUCAGUUUACUAAACUUCACCUAAAAUUCCAGAGGUACACGUCUAUUUUCUUAUUUCACAUACUGAGUUUUAAAGUCACAUUUAUAAGGAGUAAACAUCUGGUCAUCCUUGAAAAUAAUAACCUUAGACUUUUUCUAACUGUCAAAACACAGGAAAAAUCCAAACUCAGUAGAAAUGGAUUUGGUUUUGUUUUCCAUGUUGAUACUAAAUGUCUUCUGUUUUCAUCAUUUCUAGUAAGGGUUGUACAUUAUAAAAAAGGAAGCCAGAUGUGGUGGCUCAUGCCUGUAAUCCGAGUGAUUUGGGAGGCUGAGGCAAAAGGAUUGUUUGAGGCCAGGAGUUCAAGACAAGCCUGGGCAACAUAGCAAUAACUCACCUUCACUAAAAAUAAAAUAAUUAACCAAGUGUGGUGGCACAUCCCUGUAGUCCCAACUACUCGGGAGGCUGAG